UGAAUGGGUUGGAGAAAAAAGUCGCUUAGCAACGCAAGGUAGGCUCCGGGCGGCCUACACUUCUGGUACACCCGAACCUGCUGGCUGCCGGAAGUGGGAAUUGCUUGACGUGCCGCUGAUCAAUCGGAGGACAGAACGAUGAGGUGAUGGAAGACACUCGACCAAUCAACUUGUGCAGGAGGCGGGACCGGCUCGCCAUCAGGUUUGGGUGGCGCGCGGAGCCACCUCGGGAUUGUCUCAGUUGGUUUAAAGUGCACAACAGUAUGGUGAUUGCAGGCCAUGGAAUCCAUACGUGUAACAGCUAGAGAUCUUUGCGAAUAUGAUGAUCUUGCAACAAGCCUGGUUUUGGAUCCUUAUCUGGGUUUUCAAACCCACAAAAUGAAUAUCAGCAACCGACCUGUUGUAAGGAGACACCAAUACCUCAGGGACAUUCUACAAAAGUUUCUUAAGACACGAGAUUUGGAGACAGUGUAUCGGGCCUUGACAUUGGGAGACUGGGCUUGGCAUUAUUUCUUGCACAAAACUCCUCUCGAAGAAGAAAUAUUUAAAGCUCAGGUAUUCCGCUACCUUCGAAUAUUCCUACCUGAAAGUGGCUUUGAAAUUCUACCUUGUAAUCGAUACUCUUCAGAAUCCAAUGGAGCAAAGAUUGUCUCCUUAAGGAAGUGGAAGGAGAAUGAUAAGAUUGAGUUGCUAGUUGGCUGCUUGGCAGAACUUUCUGAGAAGGAGGAAUCCCUCCUACGCCCAGGGGAGAAUGACUUCAGUGUGAUGUACUCUACCCGGAAAAAAUGUGCUCAACUCUGGCUGGGCCCUGCUUCCUUCAUCAAUCACGACUGCAGACCGAACUGUAAGUUUGUUCCAACUGAAGGUGACCGAGCAUGUGUCAAAGUUCUUCGAGACAUUGAACCUGGAGAUGAGAUCACCUGUUACUAUGGUGACAGCUUUUUCGGUGAAAAGAAUGAGCUAUGCGAAUGCUACACUUGUGAAAGGCGAGGAGAAGGAGCCUUCAAGAUGAAGAAGCGUGUCAUUGACAUGGGCGCAUUCUGCAAGUAUGGACUGAGAGAGACGGACAGUCGCCUGAGCCGUAUGAAACAGAAGGGCAAAGGACGACGGCCCAAGGGAGCACAUGUUGAUUUAUAUCAGAAAACGGUGGAAAGAGCCUUGUGGCAGACUUCAGCCAGAAGGCUGUCCUUAAGUUCACGGAGGGGUAAACGUGGAAAAUGGAAAAGGCGGACUCCAAGUAGAGCCCACUCAAAGUCACCACCUGUGCUUCGCUCGACGUCUUUGCAACUGCAGAAGGCUCAGGCCGGUGAAGAGACGGACGUGGCAACCGUGACGCAUUUGCAGAAUGGGAGCCAGACUGCUGAUCAGGGAGGGGAAUCUCCUCCAUGGAAAGGUGAGGCAGAAAGCCGUCACUGUGGAUUUGGCCAUUCCUCAGUAUCCGAGCUUCAGCCCACUGCUGGGCAAACUGGUCCUGAAACACCUGUAACAUUCCAGAGGCCAGAAGGCAUCUUCCUGAAGGACCUGCGAGUGGAUUUACACGAUUGCACGAACCUGGCUGGACCAUUGACCAAUAUAGAAGAAGCAGCUACAAGAGAAAACGGGAGGUAUUUAUGGGACAAGCCAGAGGUAGACCCGGGGCCAGUUACCCCCCAGUGUCCAGGAGACGUGACCACACAGAAAGCUCCAGCCAGCACCAAUGCAGUCCUAGCACCUAGGCUCAAGUCAAGAAAGUUAGCACAGCUCAUUUGGAAGGAUUGUAAUACACCUCAUUUACCUGGAGUGACCCUUCCUUCAUUGGACCAAGCACAAACAAAACCCCAGAGCACAAAAGAAGCCAUUUCUCCAGGCUCACCACCUCAUCAUUUACAGACUGCCAGUGAGAAGGGGUCUACUGGCACAUUGACCAGGAAACGGAGGAGGAGGAGGAAAAGGGCAUUGAGAAGGAGAACCUGUCAAAAGAGGAAGAGCACACGAAGCCCAGAGAUACCACCAAGGAGAGCAUUUGGUUUGACCCACUUUGUGAAAAUCGAUUUGAGUAAGGAUGCCGUCCUUGUAACCAGUGUCAAAAAUGAAGCACAGAGCUCAGCACAAGGCAAGGCAACCUCUCAGCAAAACUGCAGUCAAAGUCCACAGGUUUCAGCGGACGGGAACUGUCAAGCUGCGCACUCAGCGGAAAUCCGGGAUGUCCGCGUAGUUCUGGAAGAUAUUUCGAAGAUCUGUGAGUGUGCCACUCGGACAUGGUACGUUCGAAGGAGGAUGGCUGCGAAGCGAAGCAUGGGCGCUGAGGGAGGGAGCUGUUUGGUGGAUUCCAAACUGGGAGCUGAACACACAGCAGCCGACAGAUUGUGGAGGACUUUGCCCUGUGCUGAGCUUCACUCUCCUGCGAGCAGGCCAGUGAGACAAUACAGGUGGACAGCUCACGGGCAGAAAGCAGGUGGCCGCCAGCCGCUAAAGCAAACCAACAAAAGGAAAGCACCCGAUGGGGAGAGAAUAGCAACAGUGAAUGGAUUGGGCUCAGCAGCCAUUAACAACUCAGUGCAUGAUGCAACCCAGCGCAAACGCUCCAAACAUUUCCCAAGCUGCGCACAGGAGACAAGGGUGUGUAGCAGAGAGGUGACGGGGCUGGGACCAUCACAGAGUGCAGUGUGUGCCGAGGGCAUGCUGGCCCACGAUUGUUUUGUUUCCUCGAUGGAAGAUGACAAAAGACCUGCAGCUUUCACCCCGUUUGCUAGAUCCAAGCGCCUGCGUCUGGUUGUCAGUCAUGGCUCUAUAGACUUUGAUAUCUCCUCUUCGGCGAGUGAAGACUCUGUCUGAGUACUAUGUUGGGGUCAGAAGUGUAUCCACCCCACCCUCCUUUACGCCCUCACCCACCUCCCCCAACCCUCAAACCCCAUAACGAACUAUCUUACAAAAAGGAGAGAAAAAAUUCAAUUUCUAAUGCUGCCCAUACACACACACACAGAGAUAAUGUUGAAAUUCCUUCCUCCUGCAUUCUGUUAUUGAUGAGCUGACAGGUUGAACUGUAGCUGUUUCCCUGGUUUGCACAAUGAUUUUGAGAUGGUGGGGCUCUACUUGACAUCAUCUUUGCACUCCCAAGCAUGGGAUUCUGCCAAACCCAAUUGGAAGCCCCAAGGGAUUUGACUUCCCCUGUCUGCGGGCUUCCUUUGUUCUCAACCAGUGCAGGGGUGAUUAGCAUUCAUGUUGGCCUCAUUGUAAUUUGAGAAUGUGGGGGUUUGGGAAAUCAGCCGACCUCUACUGAGGACAGCAUCAGCUGGGAUGCUCUUUGGAUCAAGCAGCUGGCUUAGUCGUUCCGUAUCUGGGUUAAGGGGGGCACUUGACUGAGGUACCAGAGAGCUGCCACUGUCCUGAAGCUGCAGGAGUCAUGAGAAGGCAGGAGAGUCGGGGAAACUUAAAGAAACAAAGCUUUAUCUCUGUGCAAACUAGGAAGUGGCUGUGUCUGUCCUGCUGGUCGAUUUAGGCCGUGGAUUCUUGAAAAUAUUGAUCCCAGAUAUCAGAUUCUGUGGCAUUCUCGGAGAGUGGAAUGGAAUUGUAGAUUGGAUACAGCACAGGAAGAGGUCAUUCUGUUUGAGGUACUCUCAGCAAGAGCAACUCAGUGAGUCCCACCUGCCUGCCUUUUCCAGGAACCUCUGAAAUGUAUUUCCUGUUCAGCUAAUUAUCUAAAUUGGUGCUGCCUUGAAAGCCAAGAUUGAAUCUGCCUUUGCCACGUUCUCAGUGCAUUUAGAUCCUAACCCACUUGCUGCAUAAAUAUAACUUUCCUCAUCUCACCUUUUGAUUCUUUUGCCGUUCACCUUAAAUUGGUAUUCUCUGGUUCCUGACCCUCUUACCAAUGAGAAAUGUUUUUCCCUGUCUACUCUGUCCAGAUUCAUCCUAGCUUUGAAUGAAAAGCUCCAGCUUUUUCUGUCUAUCUACAAAACUGAAGUCCCUCACCCCUAAAACCAUUAUGUUAUUCUUUUUUGCAUCUUCUGUAAUUCCUCCUUAAUGUGUGGUGUGCAGCUUGCUAGUUUUGAGCACCUCAUCCAAGUAUUUGUUGUUUGGAUAAGUGUAUAUACACACAUGUACACACACACACACUUCUUUAUUUUUUAAAAAAUUACAAUUCAGUCACUGGUUUUGGAUCAAGACCAAUGUAGAAAUGUUUAUCCCAUAUAUCAGAUUUGGCAUCCUUUUGCUUUUGUAUCCGUUGUUGUUGAUGUUUUAACAUUUAUAUCACAUACCCAUUGGCUUCAUAAUCAAGUGGGUUUGAAGGGAACAAAAUUAUUGCACACAUCUAAACAUAAUGUUUUUUAUUGUCAAGCUGUUCUGAUCUUUGUCUUCUCCCCUGCUGCAGCCUGCCU